UGAAGAAUAGAUUGGCAUUUCCUUGGGUCCACUUGUUCAAUAAUAUGCCAUGGCUGCCUGGAGCAUCAGAGGGACAGUGUGACAACAACAGAAUCCUACUAUUCCUGUGAAUAACAUAUGAGUGGCUGUUCAGCAAGUUGUGUCUAAGGAUGGAUCCACACAUCUCUGUUUGUUUUUGAAUAUACUGGGAUCUUGACCUAUAAUGUACAUUGCUGUAAUAUGCCAGUUUUGUUAUCAUCCACCACCACAUCCCACUACAUGUCAUUCCUUGCCAAUAUGGUCACUUCCAAACAGGCUGGACAGAAUGCAUGGAGAUACUAUGCAAAGAGACAGUCUAAAGCAAAGAUGCUACUGGAGCUGCAUGGGAAAUACCAAUGUGGAAGUGGUAAACAAGCCACACAAGUAACAUUCGAUCUGGGCCAUUUAAAGAGCCACAUUUGACACAUAGUCUCCAAGAAUAACUCCUCUUUAAUUUCAAUGGUCAGCCCUAGCUGUCAAAUUUAGACUAGGUGCAAGACUUCACCCAGAACAAUGAAAUGGCUUCUAGGCAAAUAACUGUAUCAAGGAAAAGACACCAAGGUGUCAUUUAUAAUUAUUCUAUCCACCUGCCUCAGAUUUCCUGCUCUUUGUAAAAUAUCAGAAAAAAUAAGCUGAAAAUAAACAGAGGAAACA